UCCUACGGGGGGCAGCAGUGGGGAAUAUUGCACAAUGGGGGAAACCCUGAUGCAGCGACGCCGCGUGAGCGAAGAAGUAUCUCCGUAUGUAAAGCUCUCUCAGCAGGGAAGAAAAUGACGGUACCUGACUAAGAAGCCCCGGCUAACUACGUGCCAGCAGCCGCGGCAAUACGUAGGGGGCAAGCGUUAUCCGGAUUUACUGGGGGUAAAGGGAGCGCAGGCGGCGGGGUAAGUCUGAUGUGAAAGCCCGGGGCUCAACUCCGGGACUGCAUUGGAA
rnacentral:rRNA from 1 species